rnacentral:rRNA from 1 species
AUUGAACGCUGGCGGCAGGCCUAAUACAUGCAAGUCGAACGGUAACAUAAAAGAAGCUUGCUUCUUUUGAUGACGAGUGGCGGACGGGUGAGUAAUAUUUGGGAAACUACCUGAUAGAGGGGGACAACAGUUGGAAACGACUGCUAAUACCGCAUAAAGCCUGAGGGUGAAAGCAGCAAUGCGCUAUCAGAUGUGCCCAAACGGGNUUAGCUAGUACGGUGAGGUAAAGGCUCACCUAGGCGACGAUCUCUAGCUGGUCUGAGAGGAUGAUCAGCCACAUUGGGACUGAGACACGGCCCAGACUCCUACGGGAGGCAGCAGUAGGGAAUAUUGCACAAUGGAGGAAACUCUGAUGCAGCCAUGCCGCGUA